rnacentral:rRNA from 1 species
AUUGAACGCUGGCGGCAUGCCUUACACAUGCAAGUCGAACGGCAGCACGGAGCUUGCUCUGGUGGCGAGUGGCGAACGGGUGAGUAAUAUAUCGGAACGUACCCAAGAGUGGGGGAUAACGUAGCGAAAGUUACGCUAAUACCGCAUACGAUCUAAGGAUGAAAGCAGGGGACCUUCGGGCCUUGUGCUCCUGGAGCGGCCGAUUACUGUUUAGCUAGUUGGUGAGGUAAAGGCUCACCAAGGCAUCGAUCAGUAGCUGGUCGGAGAGGACGGCCAUCCCCACUGAAACGGAGACACGGGCCAGACUCCUACGGGAGGCAGCAGGGGGGAUUUUGGGACAAUGGGGGCAACCCUGGUCCAGCAAUGCCGCGUGAGUGAAGAAGGCCUUCGGGUUGUAAAGCUCUUUUGUCAGGGAAGAAACGGUAAAGGAUAAUAUCCUUGGCUAAUGCCGGUACCUGAAGAAUAAGCACCGGCUAACUACGUGCCAGCCGCCGCAGUAA